rnacentral:rRNA from 1 species
CCCUUAGAUGUUCUGGGCCGCACGCGCGCUACACUGACGAAUGCAACGAGCUUAUAACCUUGGCCGAAAGGUCUGGGUAAUCUCCAAAUUUCGUCGUGAUGGGGAUAGAUUAUUGCAAUUAUUAAUCUUCAACGAGGAAUGCCUAGUAAGCGCAAGUCAUCAGCUUGCGUUGAUUACGUCCCUGCCCUUUGUACACACCGCCCGUCGCUCCUACCGAUUGAAUGGUCCGGUGAAGCGCUCGGACCGCGGCCUCUUGACGGUUCGCUGUCGAUUGACUGUGGGAAGUUCGUUAAACCUUAUCAUUUAGAGGAAGGAGAAGUCGUAACA